rnacentral:misc_RNA from 1 species
UCUGCUAGGUUCGCCAGCCACUCGCAGGUAACUCGAAAUGGAAGGGGGAGCUCCUGCAACUCCGCAGGUGAAACCUUCUCUCGAAUAGAAUCGGUCGUUCAGUCGCGCUCGCGCGAUCGCGUACGACGAUAAUUUCAUUUGCGCGCGUGCGCGCUUACUCGACACGAUCGAAAAACAAACAACAAUAAUUCAAAAGACAACAAAAAAUAUAACAAUACGAAUAAGCGUACACCGAUAAAAGGAUAUAUCAACGUUUCCGCUUAUCCCGAUCUCUUUCAACAAUUGUGCAUCAAUCAAACACACAUAUAUAUAUAUAUACACACACAUAUAUAUAUAUCCUAUGUGAUUGUGUUCAACGUCACUUUGGCCUAUAUUAUUAAUCUUCUGUCAAAACUUAGAUUUUAAUCGAAGAACACGCAUAGGAAAUAUUCAUGGACAAGAGGUCAGUGCGCCAUGCGAUUGCCAUAGCAGUCUGAGAUAACGAGAGGUGAGACGAGGAAAAAGGCGUAGGAGUUAGUUGCCUGGGGAAGAACAGCUCUAAAAGUCAAAAUGCUGUCGAGGUAUAGAACCCUGUUACUCUGGCUGACAGUGCCAUCGAUUGUCCUAGCACAGAGUAAUUAUGCAUCGCAGGGCAACAGCAUCGAGUAUCAACCUGGACUACCACCGAGCACUGUUCUCAAUGGCAAAGUUACCAAACUCGACGAUAUAUCUUCCAUAAUAUUUCUCAAUCGUACUAAGGCAUAUUUGAAUUGUGGCCAGGGUAGCAUGGACGUAGAGUUGAAAUUCGAGGAACCUUUUUACGGUGUCGCAUAUGCGGAUUUCGAUCGAAACAGUGCGUGCAUGGUUAAGGGUCGUGGAUUGGCGAACGCUAAAUUGGAAUUACCAUUGAAAGGAUGUGGUACCAGACAGGAUCCCCAACGAGUAUUCACCAACAAUAUAGUCGUACGUUUUCAUCCUGGAUUAGAGAUGGAUGGGGAUGAAGUUAUCACCAUAAUUUGCAGAUAUCCUCCACCGAUAGCACCGUCAACACCGGCCCCACCUGCCAGCAUAAUGGGUACCAUAGCGCCAGCAGCCGUGGCAGAACCCCCAUUGAAAGGAUUCCAAAUUCUUUUGAUCAUCUGUGCUAUUUUGUUCCUAUCCUUGCUGCUUCUCGGCCUUGGGUGCUCGUACAUGUGUCUUAAACGUAGAAACGUACGAGUAGUUCAUCGUCAUCCGUUUGGUAGUGGUACCGGUUCGGAGAUAACCAAAUUAUCUGGCUCCUCUCUGAGCAACAUAACCAUGUUCGAAGGCCUUAAAAUCCCACGCGCUCACGCACUCCUUCACACGACCGCUGCCUCCACAUCUGGCAGCGAAGCAAAUUUGGUCAUCGACCAUUCCGACACGUUGCCGAGCGAUUAUCCAAGCGAAAGUCAUUCCGAGAUUUAUUAUGCUCACCAGGUGGACGAGGAACGUUCGCUUCCGGUAUCCUCGGCUGGUUCCUACGACAACAAAGCGUUCGUUCAUCAUCACGAAACUCAACGUCAAGUCGAAGUACGUACGACGAGUUCGUUGUAUUCCGAGACAGUAGCUGCCGAAGUAGGAACUUCUUCGAUGAUGGCUGCCAACGCAUCGCGAAUCGCCGUUCCUCGUCAUCCAAUGGCAGUCCCGAUAGAGCCGAAAUUCGACGUUCAAAUGCGAGUUAAGAGAGCACCACCACCGCCAUCUAGUCCUUUGCCAUCGGAAUCCGACGUGGCCAGUAUUGCUCUCGAGAGAAAUCUUACGACUAUUUUGGAAAGGGAAGAAUCCAUCAUGAGUCGAACUUUGGAGAGUCCACCGCCAAGAAUGACAACUUUCUCCUACGUACCGGAAUUGCACGGUCCACCUGGAGCUACCUCGUCCACGUCUACCGUGUCCCGUCAACAAACACCUCCGGUAUACUCGAGAAUCCUAAGAAAACAAGCGGAAAGGGAGACUACUUCUAGUACCACGAUGAUUCAAGAAAGAAUUCCAUCUCCGCCACCUGCCGAACAGUUACCUAUCCUACAUCACGAAAUUCGUCGUCCCCGAUCUUUGACUUCACUGAACACCGAGUUAACCGAGACCCGUUCCCUGACGGAAGUGAUGGAUCAGUCUCACGCAAAGUAUAGAGUGGCCAGUAUUCUUGCACCAACACCACCACCCCCACCACCGAUCGUGCCAACUACUACGACUACUCACACGGCGAUUCAACAUCGCGAACAACAGCGUAUUCUUCGCGAGGAAAUGACCGAACCACUCGUCGAAGCUCAAGUUGUAACACCCAGGCGUCCAGAAAUAACGACUCACGAAGUUGACGACGUUUACUUGCGUACCGUUACCGAGAAGAAAACGAUCGAGGACGUGGAACGUCAUCGCAGACAAGUAACCGAGUACCGUGCCAGACCCCAACAACAAGUUGAUCCCAAAUGGGACGUUACAAUCAGGAAUUAUCCGACCGAGGAUCUACCACCGCCGCCACCGGAAUGGGAAAGCUUCUCCGACGUUAGUUCAACGUCGAAUUUAACGAUCACGAACGAACCUACGAUACAUCCUAACGAUGUGGCAAACGACGAUGAACCGGACGUAACCAUAGAACCAACUUACACGGCACGAGCAGAGAUACCAUGUAGACCGCCGGCUCAUUCGACUCAUCGUCGUACACUCGAUAACGAGCCGGACGGACCGACGGAUUGGUUCGCCAGACUCUCGAAAGUACUAGAGCCACGGUACGCGUCUGAAUUGACGGAAGAGGAACGAGCUAAAUGGCGCGAGAUCAUCACGACCGAGAGUACACUUAGAACCCUUCUAACAGAAGCGGUAGUUAGAGAAGAUUACGAAUUGAUACGAAAGGAUGCGAGGUACACGAAUCUAUUCCCGCCGGCCAAGUGGGACGUGAUCAUUCGCAUUCUUGGACCCCCAUUGGCCCACGCCGGUUCUACCUCGUCGUCGAGCGUGCACGGCAAAAAUCACGGCCAGAGAUACAAAAGGUCCAAGUCGUCCGAAUGGGACAACAGAUCGCGCAGGUCAUCUCUGCCAACUUUAUACGAGUACGAGAGCGACGGUGGUAGUUCCCAUCGUAGUUUGACCAAUCAGAGUCAUCGUUUACAAACGUCCCAAUCGGCUGCGACAAUGGCGGCCGGUUCUAACGUGGGACGUCUUCGCCGAUUGGGCAGUACCAGUCACAGAGGAGUGGGGGGUGCUGGUAGCGAAGCAGAUUUGAGGUCGAUGUCCGAAAUGACGGUGAGGGACUUCGCUAGAGUGGACAGAGACGAUUUGACGAGUUUGAGCUCCUUCGAAGGGGGGGCCGAUUCUUUGGUUAGAUCUCUCAGUCAACCAAGUUUGGCAAGAUCCGGUUCGGAAUUCACCGAACAUUGGGGCAUGCCGUCGGCCAUCUUGGAUCUUCCACCUUGGGCUACAGAAGGCGACGAAGGUGCCAGUUCGGUCGAAACAACACCGAGAGUUGUUAGGAGAGGCGACCGAAUCGAAGUUUUGGCCUCUUUCGAUGAACGUAGACGUAAUGGAAUACAACACGGUACUAACACUGUCGCCAGAUCUUCGAGUAGAUUCGUCGAAAGGGAAAUCAACAGCGUUCGCAUGACCGAGAGUCAGAGAGCUUCCAAUUGGUUCCACGACGAUUCGGAACCCGAGAUGCAGAUAUAAAUUUGGAGGAGUAGAAUUGGUGGCUGGAAAUUGUGCUUCUCGAGAAUCGAAAUCCCGAAUAAUUCGUUAGGAAACGAUAUUUUUAAACGAGACUACGAAGACCAACGAUCAACGCGAAUGAUAUCAGCCGUGUUUUUCAAUUGUGCCGUCCUUGCAUUUAGUAUAUAAACCCUUUUUGCAUUUUA